rnacentral:rRNA from 1 species
UACGGAAGGCAGCAGUGGGGAAUAUUGCACAAUGGGCGAAAGCCUGAUGCAGCUAUGCCGCGUGUAUGAAGAAGGCCUUAGGGUUGUAAAGUACUUUCAUCGGGGAGGAAAAACAAAACUAAUAAUUUUAUUUCUUGACGUUACCCGAAAAAGAAGCACCGGCUAACUCCGUGCCAGCAGCCGCGGUAAUACGGAGGGUGCUAGCGUUAAUCAGAAUUACUGGGCGUAAAGAGCACGUAGGUGGUUUUUUUAAAGUCAGAUGUGAAAUCCCUGGGCUUAACCUAGGAACUGCAUUUUGAAACUGAAAUACUAGAGUAUCGUAGAGGGAGGUAGAAUUCUAGGUGUAGCGGUGAAAUGCGUAGAUAUCUGGAGGAAUACCUGUGGCGAAAGCGGCCUCCUAAACGAAUACUGACACUGAGUGCGAAAGCGUGGGGAGCAAACAGGGAUUAGAUACC